ACAGCAAACUAAGUUUCUAAAGUUAGAAAUCUAAGUAUUGGUUAGAAGGAGAUAAGAGAUAUUAGAGUUUGAAAUGAUGAUUUUCUAUCCUCUUGCUAGCCACCGAACACUUGUGUAAUCCCCAACCUUUGAUUAAUGGUGACUCAAACCGAUCUUGGCCUCUCAAUAGUGCAUAAAUAGAGGUGCAGCCCCAUUCGUAUUCACGCAUCACCUCUCCUUCUUUCUCUGAUUUUUCUCUCUAGCAGGAACUCUCUCUGUUCUCUCAACUUCCAGCAGCUCUCAAACUGCUCUCUCUUCUGAUUUUGUGUAAACAGAUAAGGAGAUCUUCUCCUUCUUUCUUUGUUAGUUCAGCAACCCAAAGAAGAAGCAAAAACCAGCAGCACUUCUCCUCUUUGCUGCAGAAAAACAGCAGCUCUUUCCCUCUGACGUAGCUGCAGAAAACACUCCCUGUUUACCUUCCUACCAGCAGCCCGGAAACAGAAAAGGAUUCUCUUCCCUCUGUCAUUCCCUCGGCCAGAAACCAAACCAAACAGUGAAGAAACAAACUCUUCUUCUUCUCUGUGUAGUUCCGGCCAGCAGCAGAAAAACAGAGCAUAAGAGCUCUCUGUUUCUCCCCACUCGACCAGCAGCAAAUCUCUUCUUCUUCUCCAUCUCGGGACAGCAACUGCAGUAUGGGAUUGUGGUGUUAACCACAAUCACAUGCGAGUUUUUGCAGGACGGAGGGAAGGAACUGCUAAUAUUUAUAUUUAAGGAUAAUACUUUUGUUAUGUAAUAUUUUUAUAUGUUGAUUCGAAUUAGUUAAGAACAAUGGUAUUUAUUAAGUGCCGCAUGUGGUACAUAUGUUAUUGCUUUGAGUGUAUUUAUAGUAUUAAAACUCAUGGUUCAUGUUUUAAUAUCAUGAGGUAAUUAAGUCA